rnacentral:rRNA from 1 species
CGGCUCAGUAACACGUGGAUAACCUACCCUUGAGACGGGGAUAAACCCGGGAAACUGGGUAUAAUACCCGAUAGAUCUCGACUGCUGGAAUGCAUCGAGCUUGAAAGCUCCGGCGCUCAAGGAUGGGUCUGCGGCCUAUCAGGUAGUAGUGGGUGUAGCGUACCUACUAGCCUACGACGGGUACGGGUUGUGAGAGCAAGAGCCCGGAGAUGGAUUCUGAGACACGAAUCCAGGCCCUACGGGGUGCAGCAGGCGCGAAAACUUUACAAUGCUGGAAACAGCGAUAAGGGGACCUCGAGUGCCAGGUUACAAAUCUGGCUGUCGUGAUGCCUAAAAAGCAUUGCAUAGCAAGGGCCGGGCAAGACCGGUACCAGCCGCCGCGGUAACACCGGCGGCUCGAGUGGUAACCGUUAUUAUUGGGUCUAAAGGGUCUGUAGCCGGCCGGAUAAGUCUCUUGGGAAAUCUGGCAGCUUAACUGUCAGGCUUUCAGGAGAUACUGUCUGGCUCGAGGCCGGGAGAGGUGAGAGGUACUUCAGGGGUAGGGGUGAAAUCUUGCAAUCCUUGAAGGACCACCAGUGGCGAAGGCGUCUCACCAGAACGGACCUGACGGCAAGGGACGAAAGCUAGGGGCACGAACCGGAUUAGAUACCCGGGUAGUCCUAGCCGUAAACGAUACUCGCUAGGUGUCGGCAACGGUGCGACCGU